CCUACGGGUGGCAGCAGUGGGGAAUAUUGCACAAUGGGGGAAACCCUGAUGCAGCGACGCCGCGUGAGUGAAGAAGUAAUUCGUUACGUAAAGCUCUAUCAUCAGGGAAGAAAAAGACGGUACCUGACUAAGAAGCCCCUGCUAACUACGUGCCAGCAGCCGCGGUAAUACGUAGGGGGCAAGCGUGAUCCGGAUUUACUGGGUGUAAAGGGAGCGGAGACGGCAGUGCAAGUCUGGAGUGAAAGGCGGGGGCUUAACCCCGGGAGUGCUCUGGAAACUGUACGGCGGGAGUGCAGGAGAGGUAAGUGGAAUUCCAAGGGUAGCGGUGAAAUGCGUAGAUAUUUGGAGGAAAACCAGUGGCGAAGGCGGCUCACUGGACUGUAACUGACGUUGAGGCUCGAAAGCGUGGGGAGCAAACAGGAUUAGAUACCCUUGUAGUC
rnacentral:rRNA from 1 species